CACGUAUUUAGCCGUCCCUUUCUGAUAAGAUACCGUCACUCAAUGAGCAGUUACUCUCACUGACGUUCUUCUCUUAUAACAGUGUUUUACGAGCCGAAACCCUUCAUCACACACGCGGCGUUGCUCCAUCAGACUUUCGUCCAUUGUGGAAGAUUCCCUACUGCUGCCUCCCGUAGGAGUUUGGACCGUGUCUCAGUUCCAAUGUGGCCGAUCAGUCUCUCAACUCGGCUAUGUAUCAUCGCCAUGGUGAGCCAUUACCUCACCAUCUAGCUAAUACACCGCGGGACCAUCUCUUAGUGAUAGCAGAACCAUCUUUUAAACUUUUAUCAUGCGAUAAAAGUUGUUAUACGGUAUUAGCAUCUGUUUCCAAAUGUUAUCCCCUGCUAAGAGGUAGGUUUCCCACGUGUUACUCACCCGUUCGCCACUCGCUGCAUUGCAAUUAAAUUGAAGCAAGCUUCUCAAUAAUUGCCACAGCGCGUUCG
rnacentral:rRNA from 1 species